rnacentral:rRNA from 1 species
CGUCUCAGUUCGGAUUGUAGUCUGCAACUCGACUACAUGAAGCUGGAAUUGCUAGUAAUGGCAGGUCAGCAUACUGCCGUGAAUACGUUCCCGGGCCUUGUACACACCGCCCGUCACACCAUGAGAGUUGGAAAUACCCGAAGCCUGUGAGCUAACUGUAAAGAGGCAGCAGUCGAAGGUAGAGCCAAUGAUUGGGGUGAAGUCGUAACAAGGUAUC